AGAACUUCAGGAGAAGGAUAUACAGAGAGAAAAAAUAUGUGCAGAACUUGUUAGUCAGAUUAAGGAAGCUGAAUCUGUUUCAAAGAGUUAUUCACAAGAGCUUCAAAUAGCAAAAUCUCAGAUGAGUGAUUUACACAGGAAGGUGGACCUGAUGGAGGAGGAGCGAGAUUCUCUGGCACACAGGAUAACAGAAUGAAAUCUCAGAUGAAUGAUUUACACAGGAAGGUGGACCUGAUGGAGGAGGAGCGAGAUUCUUUGGCACAGAGGAUAAAAGAACUGCAAGAUCAGGAGUCCAGCUUUGCUGACUUACAGUUAAGAGGUAAAGCACUUGAAGACAUGCUAGCUGCAAAGGAACGAGGUGAUUUUAUUGAGCACAGUUUCCAGCAUUUGAAAUUUUGAACUUAAUUCUUUUGUUUGUUAUCAGCUUUAAACCAAACUCUAACUUCUAGAAGUAUUUUCUCUUUUGGAUGACUUUAGAAAAUGAGGCACUGAUGCAAGCACUCGAUGAGGAGGAGGCCCAAAUGGAAGACAUGACAAACAAGAUUGAAGAAAUGGAGAGAGUCCUACUUCAAAAAGAUAAAGAUAUGGAAAACCUUGAAGUUUCCCGGGGGAAGACUAUGAAGAAGCUUUCUGUUACAGUAAGCAAAUUUGAUGAACUUCAUCAACUAUCUGAAAGCCUUUUGUCUGAGGUUGAGAAUCUUCAGUCACAAUUACAAGAGCGAGAUACAGAGAUUUCUUUCUUGAGGCAAGAAGUUACAAGAUGCACUAAUGAUGCAAUAGCGUCUGCUCAGAUGGGUAGCAAAAGAAAUACUGAUGAAGAGAGAGAGAUAUAGAGAUUUCUUUCUUGAGGCAAGAAGUUACAAGAUGCACUAAUGAUGCAAUAGCUUCUGCUCAGAUGGACAGCAAAAGAAAUACUGAUGAAAUCCGUGACUUUUUGACAUGGGUUGACAAGAUGAUUUCCCGAGUCCAGACGCGUGAUAUGAAUUAUGAUGAUGCAAAAAUUAACCAGAUCCAUGAAUAUAAGGAAAUGUUAGAGAAGCAGGUCGUGUCUGUGGUAUCUGAGCUGGAGGAUCUGCGUGCACUGGCACAGACGAGAGAUUAUAUGUUGAAAGUAGAGAAAGAUAAAGUAGAACAGCUGGUUAGGAAAGAAGAAUUGCUUGAAAACUCUUUGCGUGACAAGGAAUCUCAAUUAACCAUGCUUCGAGGGGCCAGUGACAUGGGACAACUAGUAAAUUCUACGUCGGAAAUUAUAGAGAUAGAGCCAGU
rnacentral:lncRNA from 1 species